GAAGAAAGAGAGAAGAGAAAGAAGAGAAGAAGAGAAAGAAGAGAAGGCAGAGUUGUAAGAUAGCAUAGUUGGGUACACUCAAUUUGGUUAUUUGUCCUUUUUUUUCGCGUUU
rnacentral:ribozyme from 1 species